GUCGAGAAUCAUUCACAAUGGGGGAAACCCUGAUGGUGUGACGCCGCGUGGAGGAUGAAGGUCUUCGGAUUGUAAACUCCUGUCAUGUGGGAGUAAAGCCGGGUGUUAAAUGCAUGCCGGUCUGAGAGUACCACAAGAGGAAGGGACGGCUAACUCUGUGCCAGCAGCCGCGGUAAUACAGAGGUCCCAAGCGUUGUUCGGAAUCACUGGGCGUAAAGGGUGCGUAGGCGGCGCGGAAAGUCAGGGGUGAAAUCCCGGAGCUCAACUCCGGAACUGCCUUUGAUACUCCCGCGCUUGAGAACUGGAGGGGAGACCGGAAUUCACGGUGGAGCAGUGAAAUGCGUGGAUAUCGUGAGGAACACUAGUGGCGAAGGCGGGUCUCUGGACAGUAUCUGACGCUGAGGCACGAAGGCCAGGGGAGCGAACGGGAUUAGAUACCCGGGUAGUCC
rnacentral:rRNA from 1 species